GAGUUUGAUCGUGGCUCAGGAUGAACGCUGGCGGCGUGCCUAACACAUGCAAGUCGAACGAAGCAGUUGGGAUGAAGUUUUCGGAUGGAUUCCUGAUUGACUGAGUGGCGGACGGGUGAGUAACGCGUGGGUAACCUGCCUCACACAGGGGGAUAACAGUUAGAAAUGACUGCUAAUACCGCAUAAGCGCACGGAGACGCAUGUCUCAGUGUAGAAAAGCUUUUACGGUGUGAGAUGGACCCGCGUCUGAUUAGCUAGUUGGCAGGGUAACGGCCUACCAAGGCGACGAUCAGUAGCCGACCUGAGA
rnacentral:rRNA from 1 species